GAUUAACGCUGGCGGCGUGCAUAACACAUGCAAGUCGAACGAUGAAACUUAAAUGAUUUCUUCGGAAUGAACUUAAGUGGAUUAGUGGCGGACGGGUGAGUAACGCGUGAGUAACCUGCCUUACACAAGGGGAUAGCCGUUGGAAACGACGAAUAAUACCCUAUGAAACUAUCACUUCGCAUGAAGCGAUAGUCAAAGUGUUAGCGGUGUAAGAUGGACUUGCGUCUGAUUAGCUAGUUGGUGAGAAAAAAGCCCACCAAGGCAACGAUCAGUAGCCGGCUGGGGGGGGGGUCCGGCCCAAUGGGAAAGGAGACCCGGCCCAGCCUCCUACGGGAGGCAGCAUUGGGGAAUUUUGCACAAUGGGGGAAACCCGGAUCCCGCGACGCCGGGUGAUUUAGAAGGCCUUCGGGUUGUAAAAAUCUUUUUUAUAGGAAAAAAAGGCCAGUACUAACCAAAUAAGGCCCGCCUAUUUACUG
rnacentral:rRNA from 1 species